rnacentral:lncRNA from 1 species
AUUAAAAUACAAAAAUCCCUUAUUUUCCCCCAAUUCAACUUAACCGGAUACUUUAUUAUUUGGAAGCCAAAUCAGACCUUUCCCAUUCCCUAAUUUUCGCCCUCAAUCUCUCCCAUUACAAUUUCAGUUAUCAAAUUCAAAUAAUUUUGAAUUUCAAAAGAAUCCUAUCACUAUUCAACCGGAUUCAGAGUUCAAAUUAGGUUUUCUCAUC